GUCUUUUUGAUUAUAAUUUAAAGUCUAACCUGCCCAAUGAGUUGUUAAAUGGCCGCGGUAAUUUGACCGUGCAAAGGUAGCAUAAUCAUUAGUUUUUUAAUUGAAAGCUGGAAUGAAUGGUUGGACGAGAAAAUAGCUGUCUCAAUUUAAUUGAAUAUAGAAUUUUAUUUAUAAGUAAAAAAGCUUAUAUGAGUUUAAAAGACGAGAAGACCCUAUAGAAUUUUAUAUUAUUAUUAAUUAUUUUAUUUAAGAAUUAAGAAGAAUUAAUUAAUGAUAAUAUUUUGUUGGGGUGACAGAAAAAUUUAAUAAACUUUUUUUUUAUAAAUUCAUUAAUUUAUGAUUAAUUGAUCCGUAUUUUACGAUUAUAAGAUUAAAUUACCUUAGGGAUAACAGCGUAAUUUUUUUUUAGAGUUCUAAUCGAAAAAAGAGUUUGCGACCUCGAUGUUGGAUUAAAAUUAACUUUUGGUGUAGGGGCUAAAAGGUUGGGUCUGUUCGACCUUUAAAAUUUUACAUGAUCUGAGU
rnacentral:rRNA from 1 species